UAUUGGUCAAUGGCCGAGAGGCUGAACCAGCCAAGUCGCGUGAAGGAAGAAGGAUCUAUGGUUUGUAAACUUCUUUUAUAGGGGAAUAAAGUGGAGGACGUGUCCUUUUUUGUAUGUACCCUAUGAAUAAGCAUCGGCUAACUCCGUGCCAGCAGCCGCGGUAAUACGGAGGAUGCGAGCGUUAUCCGGAUUUAUUGGGUUUAAAGGGUGCGUAGGUGGUGAUUUAAGUCAGCGGUGAAAGUUUGUGGCUCAACCAUAAAAUUGCCGUUGAAACUGGGUUACUUGAGUGUGUUUGAGGUAGGCGGAAUGCGUGGUGUAGCGGUGAAAUGCAUAGAUAUCACGCAGAACUCCGAUUGCGAAGGCAGCUUACUAAACCAUAACUGACACUGAAGCACGAAAGCGUGGGUAUCAAACAGGAUUAGAUACCCUGGUAGUCCACGCAGUAAACGAUGAUUACUAGGAGUUUGCGAUACAAUGUAAGCUCUACAGCGAAAGCGUUAAGUAAUCCACCUGGGGAGUACGCCGGCAACGGUGAAACUCAAAGGAAUUGACGGGGGCCCGCACAAGCGGAGGAACAUGUGGUUUAAUUCGAUGAUACGCGAGGAACCUUACCCGGGUUUGAACGUAGUCUGACCGGAGUGGAAACACUCCUUCUAGCAAUAGCAGAUUACGAGGUGCUGCAUGGUUGUCGUCAGCUCGUGCCGUGAGGUGUCGGCUUAAGUGCCAUAACGAGCGCAACCCUUAUCACUAGUUACUAACAGGUGAAGCUGAGGACUCUGGUGAGACUGCCAGCGUAAGCUGUGAGGAAGGUGGGGAUGACGUCAAAUCAGCACGGCCCUUACAUCCGGGGCGACACACGUGUUACAAUGGCAUGGACAAAGGGCAGCUACCUGGCGACAGGAUGCUAAUCUCCAAACCAUGUCUCAGUUCGGAUCGGAGUCUGCAACU
rnacentral:rRNA from 1 species